AAAGCUGCAAUGAAACCCAAGCUCAGAUGGACGUUGCUCAGUCCGAGUUGGAUACCACAGCACAGAAAAGAAAGGAAAAAAAUGUCCUCGACUCUAUGAAGGAGCAACUUGAAAAAGCAUCGCAAAAUUACACGGAACUUCAUCGUAAUCUUCAAGAACUUGAAUUCAACAAUCCCAAGUGGGCAAAGUCCCUUUCGGAAAAACAGACUGAAUUGCAAAAGGUCACUAACGAGGAUAAAACGAAAAGCGAAGAACUCAGGAAUAUACGCAUCCGACUGGAGCAAAGCCGGUCGACUUUUUCUGCCAACACUAGCCGAGGACGCAUCCUUGACGGUUUAAUGGAGCAGAAACGAAAAGGAACGUUACCCGGCAUACAUGGACGCCUGGGUGAUCUCGGCGCUAUUGAUGAGAAGUUCGACGGCGUGUGGCCCUUUAGAUAACAUCGUCGUCGAUACCGUUGAUACCGCCAAAAAUGCAUCGCGUACCUGAAAAAUGGCAACUUGGGCAGAGCUUCUUUUAUCGCACUGGAGAAAAUGCUUCACUUGAUGGACGUCCAUGUGAUUUUUUAGUGUAUUUUUUUAGCUCAGUAUCAUGGAUUCGCUUGGGUGUUAAGAAACUAGGGACCAAGCUUACAAAAAUGCCGCUCAAGUCACCUCAUGCAGCUUGCCAUUUGAUCCGUAUGGUUUGUAUACUUAUUAAAGAAGAACAAAGUGCUGGUGAAGAGGUGACGUCGCUAAUGGAUUACCUUGAAUCGUGUCUUCGCCACAUUAAGUCUGAAAUGGUGAUCUACGAGGCUUCUCACGCGAUUGCAAACCUUCGUCGAACUGGAUCUCGUGAAUUGGCUCCUGCUAUCGCCGUGUUGCAGCUCUUCUGCUCCUCACCUAAGCCUGCCUUACGCUUUGCUGACGUUCGGACCCUAUGAAAUGUGGCAAUGACGCACCCCGCUGCUGUGACUGCUUGAAAUUUAUAUUUGGAGUAUUUUUUUACGGAUUCUAAUCGUUCAAUUGCCACUCUCGCUAUCACAACUCUGUUGAAGACUGGAGGAGAAGCCUCGGUUGAUCAGCUCAUGAAGCAGAUUGCCUCUUUUCUCUCAGAAAUCUCGGAUGAAUUUAAGGUGGUGGUCGUUGAAGCUAUUCGAUCGCUGGGAUUGAAGUAUCUGCGCAAGCACAGUACACUAGUGAGCUACACUAAUGAGCUUCCUGUCAGGAAUGCUUCGUGAUGAGGGUCGACUUGAGUACAAAGCUUCUAUUGCUGACACUUCAUAGCUAUCGUAGAAGACAAUCCGGAUGCCAAGGAGGCUGGAUUGACCCAUUUGUGCGAAUUGAUCGAAGAAUGCGAGCACACAAGUCUAUUAGCCGUGCGAAUCCUACAAUUACUUGGUCGAGAAGGUCCACGCACUAAACAGCCUUCGAAAUAUAUUCGAUUCAUCUAUAAUCGCGUCAUCCUGGAAAGUGCUGCAGUUCGAGCAGCUGCUGUGUCAGCUCUGUCGCAUUUUGGUGCGACUUGCGAAGAUUUAUUGCCUAACAUUUUAGUACUACUUCAACGAAGCCAAAUGGUAACCGAUGAUGAUGAAGUGAACGAUCGGGCUACUUACUUCUAUUCUGUUCUUUCCCGUAAAUAAGCGGCACUUAACAGCCAGUACAUAUCGGUAGGACUAACAGGCCUCUCUUGUAACCCUUGAGAAAGCUUUGUUGAACUAUGUUCACCAACCAACUGAGGCACCAUUUGAUCUCAAAUCUGUCUAGAGAUCAAAAUGAUAAAUGAUAAAUUUUGAAGUCUUGUAGAUUUGUAGCAAAUUAAAAGUAGGGCUGCUGAUAUUAGUAUCAGAUCCACAAAAAUGCAUUUUGAAUCACUGUUUGCUUAAAUUGAUCUUAAUUUAUUACGAUUAUCAUCGAUAUUAAAAGUCAUCGUUCUAAGAUUUACAACUUUUUCUCUUUCUUCAAAUGAUAAUUGAUUAUCUAGUAGCCUACUUCAUCUACAGUACAUUUUUAUUAUACAACUUUUUACCUUUAUUUAAAUCAAAAAUUUUACUGAUUCAACUAAUGAUUUUGUUGCCCCUAAACUAUUUGAACAGUAGCAUUGUUCCUCACAGUUUGGCUUGAUGCUAUACAAGAUUUUUUAGGUCUUCAUGCGUGGUCAUUGGUAUAUUUGUGAUAGCAGAAUCAAGAUAACGCACAAAAGGAAAAGUUAAAUCGAUAUUCAAAGAAGCAACUGAUGCCGCAUCGAUAUAAGAUAAAGAUACUUACAAAAAAUAUCACAUGUUUGAACAUGAUGAACCAUAUGCUGUUUAGUUGAUAAAAGCCUUGUGUAUUAUUUGAGCUGUUGAUUUGCAUAGUAAAACAUUCAUAGCUA
rnacentral:lncRNA from 1 species